rnacentral:rRNA from 1 species
ACUGACCAGAUUAGCCAUGCAUGUCUCAGUAUAAGCUUCUAUACGGCGAAACUGCGAAUGGCUCAUUAAAACAGUUAUAGUUUAUUUGGUGGUCAGCAAUUACAUGGAUAACCGUGGUAAUUCUAGAGCUAAUACAUGCGCCCAAACCCGACUUCGUGGAAGGGUUGUGUUUAUUAGAUACAGAACCAACCCAGGCUCCGCCUGGCCUUGAGGUGAUUCAUAAUAACCGAACGAAUCGCAUGGCUAUGCCGGCGAUAGACCAUUCAAGUUUCUGACCUAUCAGCUAUCGUCGGUAGGGUAUUGGCCUACCGUGGCAAUGACGGGUAACGGAGAAUUAGGGUUCGAUUCCGGAGAGGGAGCCUGAGAAACGGCUACCACAUCUAAGGAAGGCAGCAGGCGCGCAAAUUACCCAAUCCUGACGCAGGGAGGUAGUGACAAGAAAUAACAAUACAGGGCAUACAUGUCUUGUAAUUGGAAUGAGUAAACUUUAAAUCACUUUA